UUCGCCCUUAGAGUUUGAUCCUGGCUCAGGAUGAACGCUGGCGGCGUGCUUAACACAUGCAAGUCGAACGGAACUGUCAUUUUUGAAGCAAUUAGCUUGCUAAGGGUGGAAAUGUUGGCAGUUUAGUGGCGGACGGGUGAGUAACGCGUGGGUAACCUGCCUUACACAGGGGGAUAACACCUGGAAACAGGUGCUAAUACCGCAUAACAGGAAGAGGCGCAUGCCACUUUCUUGAAAACUCCGGUGGUGUAAGAUGGACCCGCGUCUGAUUAGCUAGUUGGCGGGGUAACGGCCCACCAAGGCGACGAUCAGUAGCCGGCCUGAGAGGGUGGACGGCCACAUUGGGACUGAGACACGGCCCAAACUCCUACGGGAGGCAGCAGUGGGGAAUAUUGGGCAAUGGGCGCAAGCCUGACCCAGCAACGCCGCGUGAAGGAAGAAGGCCCUCGGGUUGUAAACUUCUUUUGUCAGGGACGAAGAAAGUGACGGUACCUGACGAAUAAGCCACGGCUAACUACGUGCCAGCAGCCGCGGUAAUACGUAGGUGGCAAGCGUUAUCCGGAUUUACUGGGUGUAAAGGGCGUGUAGGCGGGACUGCAAGUCAGAUGUGAAAUUCCAGGGCUCAACCCUGGAACUGCAUUUGAAACUGUAGUUCUUGAGUGAUGGAGAGGCAGGCGGAAUUCCGUGUGUAGCGGUGAAAUGCGUAGAUAUACGGAGGAACACCAGUGGCGAAGGCGGCCUGCUGGACAUUAACUGACGCUGAGGCGCGAAAGCGUGGGGAGCAAACAGGAUUAGAUACCCUGGUAGUCCACGCUGUAAACGAUGGAUACUAGGUGUGGGGGGUCUGACCCCCUCCGUGCCGCAGCUAACGCAAUAAGUAUCCCACCUGGGGAGUACGAUCGCAAGGUUGAAACUCAAAGGAAUUGACGGGGGCCCGCACGAGCGGUGGAGUAUGUGGUUUAAUUCGACGCAACGCGAAGAACCUUACCAGGGCUUGACAUCCCGGUGACCGGCCUAGAGAUAGGCUUUCCCUUCGGGGCACCGGUGACAGGUGGUGAAUGGUUGUCGUCAGCUCGUGUCGUGAGAUGUUGGGUUAAGUCCCGCAACGAGCGCAACCCUUAUUGCUAGUUGCUACGCAAGAGCACUCUAGCGAGACUGCCGUUGACAAAACGGAGGAAGGUGGGGACGACGUCAAAUCAUCAUGCCCCUUAUGUCCUGGGCCACACACGUACUACAAUGGCGGUCAACAAAGAGAGGCAAACCCGCGAGGGGGAGCAAAUCUCCAAAAGCCGUCCCAGUUCGGAUUGCAGGCUGCAACCCGCCUGCAUGAAGUUGGAAUCGCUAGUAAUCGCGGAUCAGCAUGCCGCGGUGAAUACGUUCCCGGGCCUUGCACACACCGCCCGUCAC
rnacentral:rRNA from 1 species